rnacentral:rRNA from 1 species
UAACCUACGGGGGGCAGCAGUGGGGGAUAUUGCACAAUGGGGGAAACCCUGAUGCAGCGACGCCGCGUGAGUGAAGAAGUAUUUCGGUAUGUAAAGCUCUAUCAGCAGGGAAGAAGAUGACAGUACCUGAGUAAGAAGCCCCGGCUAACUACGUGCCAGCAGCCGCGGUAAUACGUAGGGGGCAAGCGUUAUCCGGAUUUACUGGGUGUAAAGGGAGCGUAGACGGUUGUAUAAGUCUGGAGUGAAAGCCCGGGGCCCAACCCCGGGACUGCUCUUGGAACUGCAUGGCUGGAGUACAGGAGGGG